rnacentral:sRNA from 1 species
GUUGAUAGAUUUUGAAAGAAGAAACAGAGACGGCUGUUGAGGUAACUUCAUGCUUGAGCCAGAC